UCUUUGGGAAGACUGCAGGUUUGGAAAGGCCUUGAGCCCGAGCUUUGGACACCGUGGAGGUGGGAUAUCCAGUGGAUAUGCAUAAACGGGUUGAGGAGGAUGAAAGCUGUUCAGCAGAUAAAGCCAUAGCAGCCUGUCGGAAUCCUGCCAGGCUGGCCUUGAUUUAUGACCAUCUCAGUCAGACUCCCUACCAAAUCCACCCGCUACCUUUUUUGCUCAGUGGAAAUGCUCAUGUUUGAGCCGAUAGUUCAACCAAAGUGCACACAAACACACCAGGGACAUGGUCUGGUUCGUCACACUGAAUCUGAGGACACAGCCGAUGUCUCUGAGUAGCACUCUGAUGUUCCCAGUUUCUCCUCUCUCGCACAACAUUAAAAAGUCUGGAUAAAAGCUCUGACCUCAGUGUACUGGACCCCGUGGAUGCACGUGAACCUUCCCAUGAAAUGCAUGUGCCACCUGAGGAGAAGUCACGCUGCGCGGCCGCCAGUUCAGUUCUUGGAAAUCACUCCUCAAUGACGCACAUCAAAAUUCAAUCACACACGAGCACCAUCCAGGCACCCACCUCCACCCCCUUGUUGACUUG